rnacentral:lncRNA from 1 species
CGAACCCAUGCUACUGAGAUAUCGUGACACCAAAUCGCCUGCACUGUAGCCGUCCCGCUAGACCACACGACCACAUGGGCUUCAUAAAAAUGAAGCUUUCGGUGGCCGGGUGUUACCUUUCCAAGUCAGUUUUAAUCUAGCGUCGUACUACAGCACAUGAUAUAUAAAGCAUGAAGAUGUUAUUUUUACAGAUCAGCUAAAUUAUCUAUAGUAAAGGAUCCUACAAAUUAAUGUAAGAUACACAAUGAUACAGUCACAGAAAAUAAUUAUGUUUAUAAGUACGUCUGAGCCAGUGACAACUCUACAACAGAUUUAUCCAUCGGAUGACCAGCAAUGAUGGUGAUACAUGGCUGUGUACAUUAUGUAUAUACAACUCGUCUAAACAUCAACCCAACAAUGUUAAAUCUGUAAAUU